UACAGAGGGGGCAAGCGUUGUCCGGAAUUACUGGGCGUACAGCGCGCGCAGGCGGUUGUCAACGUGCCGUGUGACAAGCGGGGGCUCAACCCCCGAGGGCCACGGUACACGGGGCGACUGGAGGCAGGGAGAGGGAUGUGGAAUGCCCGGUGGAGCGGUGAAAUUCGUAGAUAUCGUUUGGAACGCCAAAGGUGAAGACAGGUUGCUGGGGGUGUGCCGACGCUGAGACACGAAAGCCAGGGGAGCAAACGGG
rnacentral:rRNA from 1 species